rnacentral:rRNA from 1 species
UACGUAGGGUGCGAGCGUUAAUCGGAAUUACUGGGCGUAAAGGGUGCGUAGGCGGCUGCGCAAGUCGAGUGUGAAAGCCCCGGGCUUAACUUGGGAAUUGCGCUCGAAACUACGUGGCUGGAGUAUGGCAGAGGAAGGUGGAAUUCCACGUGUAGCGGUGAAAUGCGUAGAGAUGUGGAGGAACACCGAUGGCGAAGGCAGCCUUCUGGGCCAAUACUGACGCUCAUGCACGAAAGCGUGGGGAGCAAACAGG